UUGAUGUUUCAGUUUAGUAUCAGGAAGAAAGGUGAUAGUGAUUUGAUGUUUCAGUUAGUAUCAGGAAGAAAGGUGAUAGUGAUUUGAUGUUUCAGUUUAGUAUCAGGAAGAAAGGUGAUAGUGAUUUGAUGUUUCAGUUUAGUAUCAGGAAGAAAGGUGAUAGUGAUUUGAUUUUUCAGUUUAGUAUCAGGAAGAAAGGUGAUGGUGAUUUGAUGUUUCAGUUUAGUAUCAGGAAGAAAGGUGAUAGUGAUUUGAUGUUUCAGUUAGUAUCAGGAAGAAAGGUGAUAGUGAUUUGAUUUUUCAGUUAGUAUCAGGAAGAAAUGUGAUAGUGAUUUGAUGUUUCAGUUAGUAUCAGGAAGAAAGGUGAUAGUGAUUUGAUGUUUCAGUUAGUAUCAGGAAGAAAGGUGAUAGUGAUUUGAUGUUUCAGUUUAGUAUCAGGAAGAAAGGUGAUAGUGAUUUGAUGUUUCAGUUUAGUAUCAGGAAGAAAGGUGAUAGUGAUUUGAUGUUUCAGUUUAGUAUCAGGAAGAAAGGUGAUAGUGAUUUGAUGUUUCAGUUUAGUAUCAGGAAGAAAGGUGAUAGUGAUUUGAUGUUUCAGUUUAGUAUCAGGAAGAAAGGUGAUAGUGAUUUGAUGUUUCAGUUUAGUAUCAGGAAGAAAGGUGAUAGUGAUUUGAUGUUUCAGUUUAGUAUCAGGAAGAAAGGUGAUAGUGAUUUGAUGUUUCAGUUUAGUAUCAGGAAGAAAGGUGAUAGUGAUUUGAUGUUUCAGUUUAGUAUCAGGAAGAAAGGUGAUAGUGAUUUGAUUUUUCAGUUUAGUAUCAGGAAGAAAGGUGAUGGUGAUUUGGGUCCUACUACCAUCAUAGGCAAAGGUGAUAAAACUGAUCUAUUUCUCAGGACUGCACGUCAUCAUUAUUCCCAGACAUGUGGAAACCUGUCUCUUAACUGGAUGGAGUAUGGCGUCUUUCCCUGGCCUGGGAUAAUAACACUAGUCUAUUUCUGUUGCUUCACUCAUAAAUCAGAAGAACUGGUCUGAGAACAGCAGCACAGUAGUUUGUGAUGCUAUCUUAUCCUGGUGUGACAGCGAGCUGCACAGGUCUUCCUGUGCAGAUUAUCCCAGUUUCUGCCUGUGUUCGUUUGUCUAUUGCUAUUGGCACAGGUCUGUGUAUUGUCUGUCUGCACAUGUGCAGUCCUGCGUUUUGGCCUGCUUCUCUUUUAGUCCGGAACGACAUCAAUAUCGUUUGAGUGACGGGACACAUGGAACUCCUCUGGCCUUGCUAUAAGCGC